GAUGAACGCUGGCGGCGUGCCUAAUACAUGCAAGUCGAGCGAACAGAUGAGGAGCUUGCUCCUCUGACGUUAGCGGCGGACGGGUGAGUAACACGUGGAUAACCUACCUAUAAGACUGGGAUAACUUCGGCAAACCGGAGCUAAUACCGGAUAAUAUAUUGAACCGCAUGGUUCAAUAGUGAAAGACGGCUUUGCUGUCACUUAUAGAUGGAUCCGCGCCGCAUUAGCUAGUUGGUAAGGUAACGGCUUACCAAGGCAACGAUGCGUAGCCGACCUGAGAGGGUGAUCGGCCACACUGGAACUGAGACACGGUCCAGACUCCUACGGGAGGCAGCAGUAGGGAAUCUUCCGCAAUGGGCGAAAGCCUGACGGAGCAACGCCGCGUGAGUGAUGAAGGUCUUCGGAUCGUAAAACUCUGUUAUUAGGGAAGAACAAAUGUGUAAGUAACUAUGCACGUCUUGACGGUACCUAAUCAGAAAGCCACGGCUAACUACGUG
rnacentral:rRNA from 1 species